rnacentral:rRNA from 1 species
UACGAAGGUGGCAAGCGUUGUUCGGAUUUACUGGGCGUACAGGGAGCGUAGGCGGUUGGAUAAGCCCUCCGUGAAAUCUCCAGGCUUAACCUGGAAAGUGCAGAGGGGACUGUUCAGCUAGAGGAUGGGAGAGGAGCGCGGAAUUCCCGGUGUAGCGGUGAAAUGCGUAGAGAUCGGGAGGAAGGCCGGUGGCGAAGGCGGCGCUCUGGAACAUUUCUGACGCUGAGGCUCGAAAGCGUGGGGAG